GGCACCAUCAUCUUGCUCCCAUUGCUUCUUCUCUCCUCUGAUAGUGUUUAAUCCCUUUUGAACAGCAGCCCAUGGAAGGGUACGGGUAGACAGAUUGUCUGCUAAAACAGAACAUUGUACCUUGACAAACACUGUGGUUUCCCAUUCCUGUCAAUGGGUUCAUCAAGUGACUCAGAGUGACACAUUAAUGAACAGUCAGCGCCCCUCCCUGCAGUGUCUGGCCAUUCAGAGAACUCCCUCAUCACCCAUACAUCUUUGUGGUUUGAGAGGUCUGACAAGAUUGCUAUCAAAAGUGGAAAAUUUGGGAAAGCCCAACUCUGCUUUGACAUCAGCAUUGGCUUAAAAUGCCAAAGCACAGAGAAAGCAAAACCACAAAGACACAGGAACUGCAACGCAACUGUUGUCAAGUGUUAAUACAUGCAAUGUUAAUACAUGCAGACAUUCAGUCUGCAUGUGAUAAGCACCUGCCAGGAUCUGCUCCAGAACUCACCAGAGCUGUCCUUAAUGAGACCUGAUUUGGUCUUGAGUGUGCCUGUCCCCUGUGGAUGCUGAAGAGCCCC